rnacentral:misc_RNA from 1 species
GAUGAAGAACGCAGCAAAAUGCGAUAAGUAAUGUGAAUUGCAGAAUUCAGUGAAUCAUCGAAUCUUUGAACGCACAUUGCGCCCGCCAGUAUUCUGGCGGGCAUGCCUGUUCGAGCGUCAUUUCAACCCUCAAGCACAGCUUGGUGUUGGGACUCGCGUUAAUUCGCGUUCCCCAAAUUGAUUGGUGGUCACGUCGAGCUUCCAUAGCGUAGUAGUAAAACCCUCGUUACUGGUAAUCGUCGCGGCCACGCCGUUAAACCCCAACUUCUGAAUGUUGACCUCGGAUCAGGUAGGAAUACCCGCUGAACUUAAGCAUAUCAAUAAGCGGAGGA